UACGAAGGGGGCUAGCGUUGUUCGGAUUUACUGGGCGUAAAGCGCACGUAGGCGGAUCGAUCAGUCAGGGGUGAAAUCCCAGGGCUCAACCCUGGAACUGCCUUUGAUACUGUCGAUCUGGAGUAUGGAAGAGGUGAGUGGAAUUCCGAGUGUAGAGGUGAAAUUCGUAGGUAUUCGGAGGAACACCAGUGGCGAAGGCGGCUCACUGGUCCAUUACUGACGCUGAGGUGCGAAAGCGUGGGGAGCAAACAGG
rnacentral:rRNA from 1 species